rnacentral:rRNA from 1 species
ACCAACAGGGAUUGCCCUAGUAACGGCGAGUGAAGCGGCAACAGCUCAAAUUUGAAAUCUGGCGCAAGCCCGAGUUGUAAUUUGCAGAGGAUGCUUCUAGGCAGCGGCCGGUCUAAGUUCCUUGGAACAGGACGUCAGAGAGGGUGAGAAUCCCGUACGUGACCGGCCCGCACCUUCCACGAAGCUCCUUCGACGAGUCGAGUUGUUUGGGAAUGCAGCUCCAAAUGGGAGGUAAAUUUCUUCUAAAGCUAAAUACCGGCUGGAGACCGAUAGCGCACAAGUAGAGUGAUCGAAAGAUGAAAAGCACUUUGGAAAGAGAGUUAAAAAGCACGUGAAAUUGUUGAAAGGGAAGCGCCUGCAACCAGACUUCGCGGCAGUGUUCCGCCGGUCUUCUGACCGGUCCAUUCGCUGUCGCGAGGCCAUCAUCGUCUGGGGCCGCCGGAUAAGACCGGAGGAAUGUGGCUCCCCUCGGGGAGUGUUAUAGCCUCCGGUGAUGCGGCGCGCCUCGGGCGAGGUCCGCGCUUCGGCAAGGAUGAUGGCGUAAUGGUUGUCGGCGGCCCGUCUUGAAACACGGACCAAGGAGUCUAACAUCUAUGCGAGUGUUCGGGUGUCAAACCCCUACGCGGAAUGAAAGUGAACGGAGGUGGGAACUUUUAGUGCACCAUCGACCGAUCCUGAUGUCCUCGGAUGGAUUUGAGUAAGAGCAUAGCUGUUGGGACCCGAAAGAUGGUGAACUAUGCCUGAAUAGGGUGAAGCCAGAGGAAACUCUGGUGGAGGCUCGCAGCGGUUCUGACGUGCAAAUCGAUCGUCAAAUUUGGGUAUAGGGGCGAAAGA